rnacentral:rRNA from 1 species
UACGUAGGGACCGAGCGUUGUCCGGAAUCAUUGGGCGUAAAGAGCGUGUAGGCGGCCUUUUAAGUCCUGCGUGAAAUCCUGCGGCUCAACCGCAGACGGUCGUGGGAAACUGGCAGGCUUGAAUCCGGGAGAGGGAUGUGGAAUUCCAGGUGUAGCGGUGAAAUGCGUAGAUAUCUGGAGGAACACCGGUGGCGAAGGCGGCAUCCUGGACCGGUAUUGACGCUGAGGCGCGAAAGCCAGGGGAGCAAACGGGG